AAUUAUUUGAAUCAUGAUUUCUAGUUUAUUAGCACACUGGAAACAGGGAGAAAACUUCUAUACUAUGCCAUCCUAAUGUUGAAACCGGUAGGCAAGGAAAGCCGUUUAGGGGAGUAAACAAAGUUGAGGCGCUGAUAAGAAGGAAGUAUCCGCUAAAGUACGAUGCUAGUAGUGACAGAAAAACAUGAUAAAGAUAAUCUAGUUCAUAAUGAUCUAAUAUGAAUUUAAUCAAUUAUGAAUAUAAUAGGAAGGAAUAAUUGAAAAUAAAAAACCUGCAUAACAACGAACAUG
rnacentral:lncRNA from 1 species